GAGGGUAUAGCUCAGUGGUAGAGCAUAUGCUUAGCUUGAAUAAAGUCCCAGGUUCAAUCCCUAGUACGUCUA
rnacentral:tRNA from 1 species